UGACAACCAGUGCUGGUCCACCUGAGCCUCACGCAGACACAGGCAGGGGCCCUGGCAGGGUGGGCAGCUGCACUUGGGCCAGCUUUCCGGGAUCUUCUGCAGCACUUUCAGGGCCAUAGUCAGGGACGCCAGAAGGUCCCACCGUACUGUCGACGUGGACACGGCUUCAGGAGGCUGAAAGGAAGACAUUCCAAACAAGCACACAGUGGAGCCAGAACCUGCAAGUCAGAGGAUAGAGGUGCUAUCUAUGGAUGAGAUCACGAAGACCAUGUCAGCCCAAGGAUGCUGAGAUGGACCAGAGCACCGGAACCCGUCUUGAGAUGGCCGGACCGGGGUCGUCCCUCCAUACUGUCCCUACCCGCCCUCACCAGGUUUCCUUUAAAAAAAAAAAAGAGCUGGGAGUGU